AAGCGGAGGAAAAGAAACCAACAGGGAUUGCUUAGUAACGGCGAGUGAAGCGGCAAUAGCUCAAAUUUGAAAGCUGGCGUCUUCGAUGUCCGCGUUGUAAUUUGUAGAGGAUGCUUCGGCGAAGACUCCUGCCUAAGUCCCCUGGAACGGGGCGUCAUAGAGGGUGAGAAUCCCGUAUGUGGCGGGCAGUCUAAGCCAUGUGAAGCUCCUUCGACGAGUCGAGUUGUUUGGGAAUGCAGCUCUAAAUGGGAGGUAAAUUUCUUCUAAAGCUAAAUAUUGGCCAGAGACCGAUAGCGCACAAGUAGAGUGAUCGAAAGAUGAAAAGCACUUUGGAAAGAGAGUUAAAAAGUACGUGAAAUUGUUGAAAGGGAAGCGCUUGCAACCAGACUCGCUCGUAGUUGCUCAGCCGGCCUCUUGGCCGGUGUACUCUUCUACGAUCGGGCCAGCAUCAGUUCGGGCGGCAGGAUAAAGGUGUCGGGAAUGUAGCACCCUUCGGGGUGUGUUAUAGCCCGGCGCGGAAUGCUGCCAGCCUGGACUGAGGAUCUCGCUUCGGCAAGGAUGCUGGCGUAAUGGUUGUAAGCGGCCCGUCUUGAAACACGGACCAAGGAGUCUAACAUCUAUGCGAGUGUUUGGGUGUCAAACCCAUGCGCGUAAUGAAAGUGAACGGAGGUGGGAACCCCUCACGGGGUGCACCAUCGACCGAUCCUGAUGUCUUCGGAUGGAUUUGAGUAAGAGCAUAGCUGUUGGGACCCGAAAGAUGGUGAACUAUGCCUGAAUAGGGUGAAGCCAGAGGAAACUCUGGUGGAGGCUCGCAGCGGUUCUGACGUGCAAAUCGAUCGUCAAAUUUGGGUAUAGGGGCGAAAGACUAAUCGAACCAUCUAGUAG
rnacentral:rRNA from 1 species